rnacentral:rRNA from 1 species
ACGGAAGGCAGCAGUAAGGGAUAUUGGUCAAUGGGGGUUACCCUGAACCAGCCAUGCCGUGUGAGGGAAGAAGGCCCUACGGGUCGCAGACCUCUUUUGCCGGGGGAUAACGCGCUCCACUUGUGGGGCGGUGAAGGUACCCGGAGAAUAAGCAUCGGCUAACUCCGUGCCAGCAGCCGCGGUAAUACGGAGGAUGCGAGCGUUAUCCGGGUUUAUUGGGUUUAAAGGGUGCGCAGGCGGGGUCCUAAGUCAGCGGUGAAAGGCGACGGCGCAACCGGAGCAGUGCCGUUGAUACUGGGGUCCUUGAAUGCGGUCGAGGCCGGCGGAAUGUGGCGUGUAGCGGUGAAAUGCAUAGAUAUGCCACAGAACUCCGAGAGCGAAGGCAGCUGGCCGGGCCUGCAUUGACGCUGAGGCACGAAAGCGUGGGGAUCGAACAGGAUUAGAUACCCUGGUA